rnacentral:rRNA from 1 species
UACGAAGGGGGCUAGCGUUGCUCGGAAUCACUGGGCGUAAGGCGCACGUAGGCGGCUUUCUAAGUCAGGGGUGAAAUCCUGGAGCUCAACUCCAGAACUGCCUUUGAUACUGGAGAGCUUGAGUUCGGGAGAGGUGAGUGGAACUGCGAGUGUAGAGGUGAAAUUCGUAGAUAUUCGCAAGAACACCAGUGGCGAAGGCGGCUCACUGGCCCGAUACUGACGCUGAGGUGCGAAAGCGUGGGGAGCAAACAGG